UCCCAGGCAGCUGGGGGAUCCUGCCUCCUCUCUCCUGAGGAAGCCAUCUGAUGAACAAACUCCCAAUGCCUUGUUAAUGAUUCACCAUGUGGUUUGCUGUCUCCUCCCGGGAGAUCGAAGGGAAGGAAUCUUUAAUGGUGGAAUUUCACAGACGCUUUUGCCCUUAGGAGAAGGGCUAAGGAUAGACCCAACCACCUUAUCCACCAGGAGAAAGCCUGCAACACUCCCAGCUCCACUCUUCUGAUCCGGAGUUGGUCAUCUGCUUCCCUGUUGCAAAGGAGGCCAGUCUUGCUGGAUAUUUUGCCAUAACUACAGUAGUCAUGUGGUCUCAGUCAAGACUGCCAAUGUGGAUGAGCUGACAGACUAUUUGAUACUGAAGUCUUCUGGGAGGGGAUAGACACAACUGGAACAGUAUAAGUGAAAACUCCAAGGCCGAAGAGAGCCCCCUGACCAUGAACUGAGAGUGCAGCUUGGUUGAAAGUUCAAGGAAAAUAUGACUGGACUACUAACCAGGUCAAGUGCAGGAAAACCAAGAUUUGGUUUAAGGAAACUCAUUAAGAGCCUACAGAGAAAGAGCCCGAGUUUGAAGUAGGUCAAAUUUAGCCUUCCUGGUCAUGCCUUUCAGGCAUUGCUGGCUGAGUUUCUAGCUCAGCAGAGAUGGACCACAUGUGAAUGGCUUCAUCAAUUGCAGAGCUCAAACCUAAUGAGAAGGUGUCUUUGCACAGUCUGCAGCCACAGUCUUGAUUGUUAUGUUCAGUGCACUCUGUUCCUUCAGAUUGGAAUUUUCCUCAUGAAAAACUUCGUAUCCCAGGUACUUGGUAUUAGGUAGGCAUCUGCUGCCUGGGAAGAAACCACAAAUGCAACUGCAAAAGUAUGGGACUCUGGAGGUAGUAACAACUCAAAGCAUACACAAAGAAUUUUGUUUCUGAAACCAUAUUUUAUGUGGAUUUACUUAUUUAUAUAUGAGUCUACCGCACUAUGUUAUAAACUCAUCUGAGGCACUGAUUAUGCCAUAUUCAUCUUUGAAUUCUGGACAGCCAGCACCGCUUGAAAUAUAACAUAUUUAAUACAUAUCUGUGGAAGGCAGACACUAAGAAAGGAUGGGAGGAAAAAACACAGGCAAGAGAGAGGAAAAAUGAGUAAAUUAAAUAUUAGACAUGAACAAGCAUUACUGAAUGAAAAUUGCUUGUCAAAAAUGUAACAAAUGUGAGAUGAGGCCGUGAUCUUGAUGGUAUGGGUCACUUACAGCUGCAAAACGUGGGAAAUGUCACCAUGUUUCAGGACCCUUAUGUGGCACUUAGAAAACUUUGCAGUCUGCAAACUACUUGUUUUGUGACUUAGUCAAGGUGACUUAUUACAGGUAAAAUGCAUAUGUUUUAUGCCUUUUUAGUGACAUGCUUGACACAUAGUAUAAAAUGAU